rnacentral:rRNA from 1 species
CCUACGGGCGGCUGCAGUGGGGAAUAUUGCACAAUGGGCGCAAGCCUGAUCCAGCCAUACCGCGUGGGUGAAGAAGGCCUUCGGGUUGUAAAGCCCUUUUGUUGGGAAAGAAAUCCAGCCGGCUAAUACCUGGUUGGGAUGACGGUACCCAAAGAAUAAGCACCGGCUAACUUCGUGCCAGCAGCCGCGGUAAUACGAAGGGUGCAAGCGUUACUCGGAAUUACUGGGCGUAAAGCGUGCGUAGGUGGUUAGUGAAGUAAGAAGUGAAAGAGGAGGGCAGAAGGUGGGAACUGCAGUGGAUACUGGAUGACUAGAAUGUGGUAGAGGGGAGCGGAAUUCCUGGUGUAGCAGUGAAAUGCGUAGAGAUCAGGAGGAACAUCCAUGGCGAAGGCAGCUACCUGGACCAACAUUGACACUGAGGAACGAAAGCGUGGGGAGCAAACAGGAUUAGAUACCCUGGUAGUC